rnacentral:tRNA from 1 species
GGGGUUGUGGCUCAGUGGUAGAGUGCACACCUUGCAGGUGGGAGGCCCUGGGUUCGAUCCUCAGCACCA